AACGAACGCUGGCGGCAGGCUUAACACAUGCAAGUCGAACGCCCCGCACGGGGCUUGGCAGCCGGGUGAGUAACGCGUGGGAACAUACCCUUUCCGGCGGAAUAGCUCCGGGAGACUGGAAUUAAUACCGCAUACGCCCUACGGGGGAAAGAUUUAUCGGGGAAGGAUUGGCCCGCGUUGGAUUAGCUAGUUGGUGGGGUAAAGGCCUACCAAGGCGACGAUCCAUAGCUGGUCUGAGAGGAUGAUCAGCCACAUUGGGACUGAGACACGGCCCAGACUCCUACGGGAGGCAGCAGUGGGGAAUAUUGGACAAUGGGCGCAAGCCUGAUCCAGCCAUGCCGCGUGAGUGAUGAAGGCCUUAGGGUUGUAAAGCUCUUUCACCGAUGAAGAUAAUGACGGUAGUCGGAGAAGAAGCCCCGGCUAACUUCGUG
rnacentral:rRNA from 1 species